CCGUUUCCAUCUCCUCAUCACUUAAAACAGCUCUUAAACUAAAAUCUCAGUCAUUGGAGAAAAUUUCCUUCACAAUAAACCCAAAACCUACACAUUGAUCUAUGUUGAUCUACCUAGCCCUACUCGCAAUUAUAUCCCUCAUUCUCCUCUUUCUCUGGUGGCGAUACCAAUGGCCAACAGGCUUUUUUUUUCAAGAAGCAUCGGUGCGCAAAGUGCAACGCCGCAGUGGCAUCAAAUGACUCUACUGUCGUUAAAAUCCAACCGGGAGUUUUGGGGAGGAUGAGGUGGGAGCAUGAAGACGGAACGGUUACAUGUCUGAAAUCUGGUGGACAAGCUUGAGCUGGAAUUGCCAGAGGAUAGGAUUGGGUGGUAAGAUUUGAGGCAUGUUUGUGGCUGAGGCUUC
rnacentral:sRNA from 1 species